UACGAAGGGGGCUAGCGUUGCUCGGAAUUACUGGGCGUAAAGCGCACGUAGGCGGCUUUCUAAGUCGGGGGUGAAAUCCUGGAGCUCAACUCCAGAACUGCCUUCGAUACUGGAAAGCUCGAGUCCGGGAGAGGUGAGUGGAACUGCGAGUGUAGAGGUGAAAUUCGUAGAUAUUCGCAAGAACACCAGUGGCGAAGGCGGCUCACUGGCCCGGUACUGACGCUGAAGUGCGAAAGCGUGGGGAGCAAACAGG
rnacentral:rRNA from 1 species